CUACUGUGGGCUUCUCUGGUGGCUCAGAUAGUCAAGAAUUUUCCUGUAAUGGAGGAGACGUACUAUGCGAGAUGAGAAGCAGUGAAUAGCUACAGUGGAGUAAAAACCGCAGUGAGUGCUGGUGCAUGGUUGAUUAUGCUGCCGUGGCAUGCUCUCUCUAGUGAACAACUAUUAAAGCCGAAUGAAAUAAAAUGUGACUCUUUGAAGGCAUCAGAACACAGCUGAGAGGGUCAGGAUUUGAUGGGUCACGAACCCCCCAGAGAUUGGCAGCACAAUGAGGUCUUUGAAUAUAUUCUGCCUGAGCCAGCUGCAACUCAGCCAUCAGUGUUCCUUAACACCCGUACAGCAGGAAAAAUAUCAUUUUGGUGCUCCUAGAUAAUCCCUGGAAAGAGAGAAAGACUUACACAAAAG